UACGGGGGGGGCAAGCGUUGUUCGGAAUUACUGGGCGUAAAGGGCUCGUAGGCGGCCAACUAAGUCAGACGUGAAAUCCCUCGGCUUAACCGGGGAACUGCAUCUGAUACUGGAUGGCUUGAGAUUGGGAGAGGGAUGCGGAAUUCCAGGUGUAGCGGUGAAAUGCGUAGAUAUUCGCAAGAACACCAGUGGCGAAGGCGGCUCACUGGCCCGGUACUGACGCUGAGGUGCGAAAGCGUGGGGAGCAAACAGG
rnacentral:rRNA from 1 species